rnacentral:rRNA from 1 species
CAAUAGCGUAUAUUAAUGUUGUUGCAGUUAAAAAGCUCGUAGUUGGAUUCCUGGCACGGGGUAGCCGGUCCGCCUUGCAAAAGGUGCGCACUGAGCGGCCUCGGCCAUCCUUGCGAUGGUCUAUCCUGGCAUUCAGUUGUCGGGGUGGGGAUUCGCGACGUUUACUGUGAAAAAUCAGAGUGUUCAACGCAGGCUUACGCCUUGAAUACAUUAGCAUGGAAUAAUGAGAUAGGACCUUGGCGGUCUAUUUUGUUGGUUUGCACGCCGAGGUAAUGAUUAAAAGGGACGGUUGGGGUUCUUCGUAUUCAAUUGUCAGAGGUGAAAUUCUUGGAUUUAUGGAAGACGAACUGCUGCGAAAGCGUCGAACAAGGACGUUCUCAUUAAUCAAGAACGAAAGUUAGGGGAUCGAAGACGAUUAGAUACCAU